UGGGGAAUAUUGCACAAUGGAGGGAACUCUGAUGCAGCGACGCCGCGUGAACGAAGAAGGCUUUCGAGUCGUAAAGUUCUUUUAUAUGGGAAGAUAAUGACGGUACCAUAAGAAAAAGCCCCGGCUAACUACGUGCCAGCAGCCGCGGUAAUACGUAGGGGGCCAGCGUUGUCCGGAAUCACUGGGCGUAAAGGGUUCGCAGGCGGAAAUGCAAGUCAGGUGUAAAAGGCAGUAGCUUAACUACUGUAAGCAUUUGAAACUGCAUAUCUUGAGAAGAGUAGAGGUAAGUGGAAUUUUUAGUGUAGCGGUGAAAUGCGUAGAUAUUAAAAAGAAUACCGGUGGCGAAGGCGACUUACUGGGCUCAUUCUGACGCUGAGGAACGAAAGCGUGGGUAGCAAACAGG
rnacentral:rRNA from 2 species